UGGGGAAUUUUCCGCAAUGGGCGCAAGCCUGACGGAGCAACGCCGCGUGAGGGAGGAAGGCCUGUGGGUUGUAAACCUCUUUUCUCUGGGAAGAAGGUCUGACGGUACUAGAGGAAUCAGCAUCGGCUAACUCCGUGCCAGCAGCCGCGGUAAGACGGAGGAUGCAAGCGUUAUCCGGAAUUAUUGGGCGUAAAGCGUCCCUAGGCGGUUAUACAAGUCUGCUGUUAAAGACUACAGCUCAACUGUGGGAUGGCGGUGGAAACUGUGUGACUAGAGUUCGGUAGGGGUAGAGGGAAUUCCCAGUGUAGCGGUGAAAUGCGUAGAUAUUGGGAAUAACACCAGUGGCGAAGGCGCUCUACUGGGCCGAGACUGACGCUGAUGGACGAAAGCGAGGGGAGCGAACAGGAUUAGAUACCCGUGUAGUCC
rnacentral:rRNA from 1 species